rnacentral:lncRNA from 1 species
AACUUCACCAAAUGCAGCAGGACCAUUACUUGCAGCUUUCAUCAUCCAUCUUUCAUAUCCAUCUGCCGUUUUCUUUCGAUUCUUCAUUUUUUCUUCUGCCUCCUCCAAUGUAAGUUGCUUAUACUGUGCCACUUUAUUGAAGUUGUACCUGAAAAUUGAGGUCAGUCUUUCUACUACCACCAUGCAUGACAAAAAUUUUCACAUGGACAAUAUAGAAACAUCCAAGAAUAGGAAAGAAUAAUAAACAUGUAUGAAGAAGACUAUGCCAAACAAAUAAAGGGAUAUAACCCGAUCCAUGGCAGACUAACUCAAAGAUAAACCAUACCAAGAACCUGCAGGAAUGGCAGUAAAUUCCUUUCCCUGCAAUACAAGCAAGUAGUAUGUUGCUGACUGUGAACCCUCAAGAUGACCUUGGAAUUGAAAUUGGCCUGUUUCAUCUUCCAACAGCCAAGGUCUAUUCUUGUACUUUUCCUAUGUUAACAUAAUCAAAAUUGAUCAGGGUCAAGCAGAACAAGAGUAAAAAUAACCAUUAAAAAGGAAAGAAACAAACAAACAAAAAAAGAAAGAAAAGGUAAGCAAUAUGCCAGAAAACAACUAACUUGAAGAGAGAAACAAGAAAAGAUAAAUGCAACAAGAUAUUAACCAAAUGCAUCUCCAGGGUCAAAACUGAGAGCCUGAGUUAUGGUUAACACAAGGUAAUAAUUAAAUAGUGAACACAAAACAAGUAGUUAUAUAGCCCAACAUCUGAUAUGCAAUUUGGAACUUUUUUCUUAAAAUAUCGAAUGUGCGUGUCCUCUUCUAAUACGUGAAGGGGACACAAUAAACCUUUUUAAAAUAAAAUAAAAAAACUCAUCUAAUCUAAUAAAAUAAAAAAACUCAUCUAAUCUUUCCCAACUCAAAACUAAUCAGCAUAUUGCCCCAACCCAAAGCUAAAGUAAAAAAUUUUAAAAAAUAGAAAAUAAUCUUUUUUUGAAAAAAAAUCAUGUUAUCAUCAAAUCCUCAUCUUCACAACUAAGUCCUCACAAAACCAAACAAAAAAUAUUUAACAGUUCAUUGAAGUUCUUCAUUUAUCUUAGUAGCUCUCCUUUUCUGACCUGUUCUAUUGUGUUCGAAAUGCUAUUAUUGUAUUUCAGUAUCUCUAAUGCUACUUUUCGUAUUGUAUUCCAAUGUUUGUAUUGUAUAUUUGUAUUUUGCACUAUUUUCAUUAAUUUGACAUUUAUGUUUUUAGUACCUUUGAGUUAAAUUUACCUAUAUUUUAAAAUCUUAGAAAAAAGUAUGCCCUCAGUAUAUUAAUUUCCUAGUGUUUUAGAAAUGGACGUAUCGAAGUAUUCAUAUUCAUCUGUGCUUCAUAGGUGUUCCCUAUAAAUUUUGUUGAAAGAUAGCAUCAAUUACUUUUUCCCUAGCUACUCUUAACAGUUAUAAGUUAUAACUUCUAAAAAGGAAAAUAGAUAUCAAAAGUCACCAAUAUCCAGGCUUCCAAAACAAUAAACUAUCCAAGACAAACUAAAGAAAGGAAGUAAAAUUGAAGCGAACUAAUUACCCGAAGGGCAUCCGAAAGUUGGCGUCCUUGUAGACCUUCCUUGUAAAGAGACCAUUUAUUCUCAGCAUUUCUCUUCUUCGAAAAGUUCGGAAGCCCACUCAUGAACCUACCGAUGAAGUAGUUCUUGUCGUUACUUGCACUUGCUCGAACAUUGUAUUCCUAAAAUAUAGUUCAUCAUGCACUCUCAGAAAGAGAAGGCAGACAGUACUCAAUCCACGCUAUUAUGAAAAUUCUUAAAUCUGUCAUAAAUAAGAACGCCUAAUCACAUGAGUACAAAUUUAAAACAUUCAAAUCAUGACGCUCCUUAAGAACAACGAGGUAAAGUACGAACUCUUAUUAAGCGAGUUACAGUAGCCCCACAAUCAUAACAUUUGCCCUUGUUCUCCGCCAUAGUUUUUCCACAAGUCAAACACAAUGUCAUAUGCUUGCAAUUGCUCCCAUACAACUCCGUCGUGGAUCCACAUCCACUGCACGAUUGCUUCAGGAGCAGAUCGAACGACAUCUCCCACCCCUUAAUUCAGCCACAAAUCUACAAUACCCAAAAACAAAAACACAAAUCACCACAGAAUCCCAUAUUCUCAUAUCUAUAAAUGUUUGGGCAUCUUGCUAUUCUCACCAGACAACUGACUCUCCUACGUUUGGUUGCUAAGGCAGUCAGUAAGCAACAAGGACCCUCCACAUAUAUUGUGUUAAACCCUAACGGGUGAGACCAUCUAAUUUGAAACUAUUUGUAAGGAUUUUGGUUCGCAAGCGCCGUUAAAAGCGAUGAAGAGGAAGGCGUUCGCUGUCUAAUCAUGUGUCGUCGUCACAGAUCCGGUGGUGGGUGAAGUUGUCUAGAACGAUAGAGGUCGAGCGAUGGACCGCGGUGGAGCAGGGGUGAGAGUGAGAAAGAGAGAGAGAAAUCCAAAAGAAAGAGAUAUAUAUAUUACCUCUGCUGCUGGCGACGGCCGGCUUAACGAGGGUGAAGCACGCAGAGGCGGCUGAGCAAUAGGGCAGCAGAGAAGGUGGUGGCGACGUGGAGGUGAGAAAAGCUGAGAUCAAGGGGAGAGAGCGUGAAGGGCCGAUCUCUAGGGCUGCCUUGCUUUGCUUUUUCCUUUAUUUUUUCUCCUUUUUCACUAUAUCGUAUUUGUAACUUUUGGUAACCGAGGUUUGAAUUUAAAUGUCAAUUUGAUUUUUAACUUCGAGACGAUGCUUCUUUGGGGAUUUGAAUGUAACCAAAUCAAUGGAACGAGUAUUGAAAUGAGCGAGGAAUGGAUGACAUGAUAGAAGAAAAAAUUGUAUAUAUCACCAACGCCCAACUCAAAAUACCAAAUGAUACAUUUUUAAAGCAUAAUGACUAUUGAUCUUCGGUUGCCUCAUCACCACACAAGAUCACCAAAUUACCCCUCAUGUUUGUCUUCAUAUCUUUUAGUGCAACCUAAAAUGAUAACUCUUCAAAUUCAACCGCGUACUACAUUUGACAUCUAUUAAUCCAUCAAACCCUAACCACAAUUAAGUUCGUCGUUAAAAACCACAAUUAAGAUUACGACGUCAGAGAUAUCCCGACACUUAAUCUUAUGCGUCGGAAGACCCUAUAUAUAUUUUUCUUUAAAUACCUUCUAUUAUUAAAAUGGAAGGUAUUAUGUAUACAGUCUUACCAAAAAAAUUGAAAUUAGUAUUACUUUCAAAAAAUUUAUUUAAAGUUAAAAAUUGCAAAAAUUGAACUCGUCUUACCAUUUUUAUACGGUAAGUUCAAGCAUAACCAAACAAAACAGGAACCAAAAUGCAAAUUCAUCAUAAGAUUUUCAUCAUAAAAUCAUAAAAUAAAAGAAGAAAGUUAAAUGAAAAAUAAACAAACAAAUAAAUCUACCCACCUUAUUAGUCGUCGUGAUUUGCCAUAACGGUAGCAAAUGUCCUCUAUCUCUUCUUCUCAUAUAUGUGAAGAAGGAGAAAAAAAGAAGAAAAGAAAAGAAAAAAGAAGAAAAGAAAAGAAAAAAAGAAGAAAAGAAGAAAAGAAGAAAAAUAAAAGAGAAGGGAGAGAGACUACAAGGAAAAAAGAGAAGAAAAGACAGUCUUGGAAUUUUAAAGGGAAACUCCCGAAGGCCAUUCAUAAUCGCGUCGAGAAAAGUUUAAAUUUUUUUAAAAAAUUAAUUUUUUAAACUUCUCUCGACAUCGUUAUGCAUGGCGUUGGAAAAAUUUUAAAGUUUUUUAUUGCAUUAACUUAUGCCGACAUCACCUUAUGUCCCGUUGGGAUUGUCAAUCUUUUCUAAUGGAGCUUCUACGAUGUUGAGAGAAGUUUUUUCUCCCGACAUCCGUGUUGUGCGUUGGAAAAUACAUAUUUUCUUGGAGUGUAACAUAAUGAUGAAAUUGCUUUCCAGAGAGAAGCACUGAAUCAAGAGAAAGAAAAGAAGAAGGAAGAAAAGGAAGGGAUGGUGAGAAGAGAGAGAUUAGAGAAAGAAGAAAAAGAGAAGAAGAAUGGAAUAAAAUAGAAGAGGUGGUCCGCGGGGAGGAGCAAGAAGAAGAAGUACAUGAAAUAGGUGCCUCCUCACCAAUUGUUAAAACUGAAUUAUUGAUACGAUGGCGAAGAAAACCCAGGAAAAGAAGGAGAAGGUAAAAUUUGGGAUCAUGAAAAUUAAAGUAGAAGUGCAAGGUGUUAAGGUCUUGGCGCAAGAGAAAAAAGGAAACCAAGUUAAGGGAGUGAGAAGUGCUCAUCAGCAAGACGGAUAAGGUAGCUCUAUCUGCGGAGAAGAGCAAAGGAAAAGAAAAGACAACAGAAGAGCAUUGCAAGGAGUUUGAGAGAGAAAUAGAUGAGUUAAGUUUUUUGGAGGAUGAGGUUGUGGAGAAGCAACCACAGAAAAAGAGGGUGUUGGAAGGUCAAGACGCCAAGAGGUGAGUAAAGAAGGAAAAGAAGGCUCAACAAGAAGAGGAGAGCCAAGAAAGCAAAGAAGAAGACGCCCUUUCUGCAGAAGAAUUGGACAAGCAUUUCAUGAUUGAGAAGGGGACUCUUCCCAUCUAAAGGCCAAAUGCCUUCGUUCCUCGCAUCACCCAUUAAGACACUAGGAUGGAAGAAGUUUUUCGAAGGGGUGACUGCGAUUCACUAGUUCACGUGAUUCACUAGUUCACUUCUUAUUAAUCUUGCAUUUAGGCACUGUAAUCAUGGUAAAACAAGCGUGAAAGCUUAUGUAAAAUCUAUUUCUAAGAAAUUAUGCAUUUUCAAUAAAAACUAUGCGUUUUGAUGUACUUCUUCCCUAUUUUGGUCUCAUCAUUCUAAUAAAAUAAGCUAUAAUAACUUGUAUUUCUACCGGUUAUUAAGAACUUUAAGCAAAAAGAGGCGAUGAAGGGUAAGGAAGAUGAGGUUGGUGAGGAUUACGUUUUUAAGUUCAUUGUUCAAUACGUAUGUAACCCAAUGAAAAAAGGAUUUGAAGACAUAAUUCAAUAUCAGAGAGCAACCUACAGGAGACGCAUUUGCGAAAUCAAAAGCAAAUAAGCAAUUUGAAACUUAAGCUUGACGACACAAAAGUACACAACCAAGGUCAGAUGGACCAACUCAAAACAAAGAUGACUAAGCUCAAAACACAUAAUCAAAGAGCUCCAAACACAACUUCAAACCAUCAGGGAGCAAAGUGAAACAUUAAUGGAUUUGGUUGAGCAGAUCGCCACAUGGAAUGACACCCCCUUUAGAGCUCUACUAAGAUAUCAACACUUAUUGAUGUGAAAAACCAUUCCUAUGUCGAGGUUAAAGACGUAGUAAGGCCCCUUACGCAACAUGAUAUUGCGGUUUGCGCCACGAAAAACCAUCCUCCAUCGCUGUCGCAACCUUAAAUUUUGGAGUGUUUGUAUUUUGUUUAUAGGUUGGAUCUUAAACCAGUUGUUUAAUAGUGGAUCGGUGGGACUUAAGAAGCAAUAUAUAAUCUCGGGGGUAAACCGGUAUUUUGACCCAACUAAGGUUACAAAUAACCUGUGAAAGAUUAAGUUACUAAUCAUGGUUAUAUUAGAUGGACAUAAAUAUAUCUAAAGUGAAGGGAGUGCAACUACGAAACUUUAAUAGAAUGACCUGUUAGUUAAUGAAUAUUGAUUAGCUUGGUCUAAAAGGGUUUAGCCAGUUAAUCUCAAAUCGUUGGAGCUAAUGAUCUAUAGGUUCAUUAGGCUUCCCUGCUAGCUCAUAUGAAAUAAACUUAUAACAAUAUGUUGGAAUAAUUUGAAUUGUUCGAAUUAGGUAAAAAGAGAGAAAUUGACGAAUAUAAGUAAUAUGAUUGUUAGUUAUCAAUUUGAGACAGAACUUUAUGUUUAAAUGUGAUUUAAAUAUUAAAAAUAUAAAUAUAGAUUCAUAUUCGGAAGCUCAGACUUGAUGGAAAUGGUUAAAGUUGUAAAAAAUCAAAAUGUUGAUUUUUUACUUUGAAAAGUCGAACUUUUCUGGAUUUUAUAUUCAAAUAUGAUUUGAAUUUCGAAAAGUGAAUGUGGAUUCAUGCUUGAGAGGUUGGAAUUAUUCAAGAUGGACAAAAUGGUAAAAAAUCAAAAUAUUGACUUUUGACUUGAAAAAGUCAAAGUUUGAAUUUGACUUGAAUGGUCAAAUGACCCUAUUGCCCUUGGACUAAGUUAGUGGAAAAAUCCAAUAUUUUGUUUGGGUAAUUCCACUAAUACUUGGUGGGAUAAAUGACUAUAUGAGAUGUAGACACCUAACCCACUAAGUUCCACUAAUGAUUAAUGGAAUGCUAGGUGUUUAGAUUUGGCCAACAAAUUACAUGUAAUUAGGUUAUAAAUAGAGAAAUUUUCAAAAGUAACAAAUUUUACAAAAUAUAUAUAACUUAUAGCAAAUUUUAUCACUGAUAGUCAUUGAUAUGUUAUAGUGAUAAAAUCCAAAAUUUUUCUAUAGUUUGAAAAAGAUUUUUGACCAAAAUUUGUAAUUUUUAAUUACAAUAUUCUUCCAAAUUUAUUUCUCUCCCAGUUCUCAAACCUAAAUUUUCACUUCCAAAUUUCAUCUCUCUCUAGAUUUCCUCCACCUGAUCGGGCCUCACAACCUGGUUAUAAGUCUAGAAAAUAGCGGGUCAAGUCUAGUGAUGGUCUCCAGUUCGUGUUCGUGAGGAGAUUUUGAGGAUCGAGAACCUACGAUGGUAUGGCUUUUAUUAACCCUAAUUUCAUUUAAUUAAGGUAGUUGUGAUGUAUGUUAAUCUCUAAUUAGUUAGAUGCAAUUAGAAUAAUUUUUCGAUUUGUAUUUCCACUACGCUUGUAUGCUUUCCAUCACAUGCAAUAUAAAUAAAUACUUUAUCGUUUUAAUAGAAAUAUGAGUUCAAAUCAGAUCAUUUCAAUUUACUAGGCAAUUCGCAUAUUCAAAUCUCUUGGGCUAGCAUUUAUAAAUUCUUUAGAAACCAUUUUCUUGCAAAUCAUUAUCAUAUCCAAAUCGCAUAAGGAAGCAAUUCACAUAACGCAUUUUAUCCUCAACUCAAGCGCUUACCACGCUCUUUUGCUGACUUGCAGCUAUGCAAAAUAAUCUCAAUGCAAUAGAAAAUUCUUCGAUAAUUCCAUCACGCAUAACGUGUUUUUCAAUGGCAGAACAAACAACAAGCAAAUGACAUCUCAUACCAUAUCACAUAACAAGUAUGAGACAUCUUAUUAUUCUAGAUCACACAAUAAGAAUAAGACAUCUUAUAGCACAUUACACGGUAAGAAUAAAUCAUCUCACACUAGAUCACACACCAAGUGUGAGGUACCACAUCGCGUACGAUACCAAAGAUCAUUUCAUCACAAUAUUUCAACUCAUUUCAAAUUCAAUUCAUUUGUAAAUCAAUUUCAUUUUAAGAAUUUGAGAACACAAUAGAAAUCAUGGAACUCAAGAAUUUAGUAGAGAUAAAUUUGAGGAUUCAAAUAUAGUGGAAAUUCUUUUAAUUUGAAAACAUUUUAAGAAGAAACCACUCACAAUCAACUAACCUCCUUUUUGUUGGAGCUCUUGACCAACUUUUGUCGAAAAUCCAAGCUCGUUGUACUUUGAAAUCAAUGUGCAAGUUCUCAUGCUCUUUAGAUAAUUAUCGAGUAAAAUAAGCUCUUAGUAUUGUAUGUUUCCUUUUAAGACUUUUUCACUAAGAUUACCCAUGCUAGAAUGAUUACCUCUAUCUGACGGUGAGCUUCACCUAAUGCUAUCUCACUGCAUAGCUUCUCCCACCUCCUUAUUCUAAAUUCAGUUGGGCAAUAAAGUAAAAUAAACUCACCAGCCUUCUUACACAAGGAUGACGUCAACUACUUCAUGGAGAAGCAAGCUCACACCGCUAUCUCAUUGCAUAACUCUUCUUACCGCGUAAUUGAAACAAUACACAGUUGCUUUGCAACACUUCCAGUCUCCAGUGCCCAUCGCGUGCAAUCUCAAUGCAUAACCCAUUCUUGUCACGUGUAGUCUUAAUGCGUAGUACAAAUCGCGUUUGGAACCUCACAACUCCUACCUCCUUGAUGAAAUUUUGUCCUCAAAAUUAAGUAGUUUAUGCGAAGAGUUGAGGAUACUUAAUCUUCAUUUUCUUUUGGUGGCUUCCUUAACGCCAUGAUUAUUUCAUAAUACCUUGACCAUGGAAAUAAUUUUUGUUAUCAAUACUUGUUCUUUCCUAUCUAACACACGUAAAUGUCUUUCUUCAUAAGUCAAGUCUUUCAUUAUUUCUAUGGACUGCUCUUGAAGUAUAUGUGAGGAAUCUAAAACAUACUUUCUUAACAUGGAAACAUGAAAGACAUUAGGAAUUUUAGACAACUUUGUGGGCAAUCUUAGUUUAUAAGCCACUCGUCCCACACAUUUUAGAAUUUUAUAAGGUCCUAUAUAUCUUGGACUUAGCUUUCCUUUCCUUCCAAAUCUAAUUACACCUUCCCAAGGGGACAAUUUAAGGAAAACCUUGUCUCCAACUUUAAAUUCCAAAGCUUUGUGACGAUGAUCCGCAUAACUCUUUUUCCUAUCGCGAGCAAUGUUCAUAUUUUCUUUAACCGCCUUAAUGUUUUUUGUUGCCACCUAAACUAGUUAUGGCCCAUAAAACUUUCUCUUGCUUUCUUCUUUCCAACAAACUGGUGUUCUACAAUGCCUCCCAUACAAUGCAUUAUAAGGAGUCAUUCCAAUGCAAUGCUAGAAUGAUAACAAUUAUUAUAGACGAAUUCAAUUAGUGAAUCCCUAUCUGAUACUAUGGACAUUAGGGUUCCAUAUUGGCCUACAAUCUUACCUGCAUACAACUUGGCCAAUUUGUCUAAUGGAAAAGUUACUUUAAUAGGGAUAAAUCACAUUGUCUAGGUAAAAUGGUUCACAAUUACCCAAAUUCCAUCAAAGUCACUAGGAUUUCUAAGCAGGCCAAACAAGAAGUUCAUAAGUGAUAUGCUCCCACUUCCAUUCUGGACUAGGCAAAGUACACAAUAAUCCUCUAGUCUUUUGGCGUUUCAGUUUAACUUGUUGACAAAUAAAACACUUAGCUAGAUAUUCAACGAUUUCUUGUCAAAUACCUGGGCAUCAAUGGUAUGCUUUUAAGUUUCUAUACAUCUUAGUACUUCCAAGAUGCAUCAAAUAGACUGAAUUGUACGCUUUUUCCAAAAUACUUUCCUUCAACUCAUUAUUUGGAACACAAAGUCUUCUUUCUUUUAAUAAUGCACCAUCACUUCUGAACGUGCAGUUUAUCCGUCUUUCACAUUUAACUUCUUCAGCUAACUUUCUUAGCACAAGGUCUUCCGAUUGUGUUUGAACAAUCUCUUAUUCAAGUGUGGGCUUAACUUGGAAUCUUGGUUAGUCGCUAUAUUACGUGUUGGUUUUAAAGCUAAAGUAUGGUUAGGAAUGGUCAAAUAGAAAUAGAACCAAGAAAGAAAAUACUUUUUAUUGUUUUGACCCAUUUUUCAAGAAUAUUUAUCAAAGUUUAGGAAUAAAAAAUGAAAAAAAAGUUAUGAAACAAGUACGAUUCUUAAAAAAUGAGAGCAAAAAACAAGAACAUUAUCAAACGAAUCCGACUUUUGUGCCGUGACUCAUGUAAACAACUACAUUAUUUUUCCAUAUGUAUGUUUAAAUCUAUUCACAUAAGCAUAUACAUCCAUAAAUUUUAAUGGCAAAAAGCCUAUAACAAUUGUUUUGGAACAAGCUUCAAACUUUUGCUCAAAAUGUCAAACCUUCCUUCUAAUUCCAAACCCAUGGAUCAAAUUUUUUAGAGAAUUCAACUAAACGUAGUGCCAUCAAAUCCAAGUAUCACGUCACUUUUUUCUUAUAACACCCAAUUGUAUAAUAUGAUUAAAUUAUAUCUUGUAUGGUGCAUUGAAUUAAAAUGUGCCUGAGAUUCCAUUUUAAUAUAUCUUUUCAAUUCUGAAAGCAUCAUAGUAUUGACAAAUUAAAAUGCUAAUACAAAUGCGUUUAUUUAAAUCCCCUUGAAAACAAAUACUGAAAACACUCCAAAUUUAGAGAUAAGGGGACCCUUCACAUAUCUUGCUCAUUUGACAUGGAAAUCACCCAACCAACACUCGGGUAUAGUAAUGCUUUGGAAAAUACAUAAUUCAAAUAGUUAUUGAUGCAUCGAGUAAAGGUAAUAUAUACUCGAUAAUAUAGCUUGAUUGACUGCAGAGAGAAUGAAAGACCUAAUCAUCGCAAUGUGCAAAAUCCACCUCAUAACAACCCCUAUAACCAAGGAAGGAGACUCCUACCAUUUAAAAGCCUUAGAGUUUUUUUUUUUUAUAUUCACGGGUGUCUGGACCAGCUUACACACACCUCGACUGAUCUCACGGAAUAACCUGUUUAACCCUACAACAUUUGGGUGUCAAAGAAACUCGUAGAAAAUUAAUUUCUAAAUAGAUGGUCAUCAUGGAUUGAACUGAUAACUUCUUAGUUAGAUAUGAUUCUUUUUUAUUACUAGACCAACCCAUGAUAGUUUUUAAAAGCCUUAGAGUUACCAACACAGUACACGAUUUGAUCGAUUUUCAAAGUAGGAGGGACUUAUAUAUAGUUCAAAUCUCUCGACAACAUCUUAAAAAGAAAUUAAAAAAAAUCAGAAUAUAGCCCAAUGAAGACACUUUAUCCUGUAUUAAUCAACUUGUUCUGGAAACAUUAAAAUAUAUAUAUAAUCACAACAAAUCACCUAACAAACCUGCACAUACUUCACAAGCACAAUCGAGAGCUGAAAAGAUAUACAUUUGGAAACCAGAAAGGAAUGAAAGAAACUACACGUGAAUUGCUUAGAAAGAAUACUGAUAAGCAACAAAUAAAAAUGUGUAAAGCGUUAUUCGCAGGCUAGAUAUAGAUUAUCAACAUUAUAAACAUUUACCUCAUGACAUAUUCACUGCUCAGGACAUUUGCCCAUAUUUCACAGCAGGGACAUGCCAUAUCUGUUAACAGCCUUCUUCAAACAGAAAGUCACAUCGAGGAGAUCUCCCACAUUAUAGAAUCAAGAACAACCAAAGCAUCUACGUAUAGAGAAAACGGUUGAGUCCUCCGGCUCGGACUCCUGUUCGACCUUUUUUGGACGAUAAUGCUUGAAGAAGGCUUUUACAGCUCCUUCUACUCCAUCCUCGUUUUCCAUGGCCUUGGCUAGCUCAAGAGCAGACUGCUUUACCUGGAAUGAAAGUGAAACAUAAGUUUACAUUUUCCGCUUCAAACGAAUGAGUUCCUCCACCUUAACAUAAUAAUGUUAUCCUUUUUCUUUUUCAUUAGAGGAUCCCCUCAAACCUAUGAUUAUCUGGUAAUGUCAAUGAUCUUCUUAACUUGCAACAUGUAACGAAAUAUCAAUGUCGCACUUUAUUUCUUUCUGAGUCAGUCAUCAAUUGUACGUUUGGCACAUCCACUUUCAAAUGUACUUCCUAGACCUCCCAUUAUGAUCAGAAACAGAAAACAUCAUUAUCUCUAAUAUAGUAUUGGCAAUUGAAUACUAAAGAACAGGGGUUCAAAUUUACGACCAGUCCAUAUUGGAAAUUUUGGUCUGGCUCCCUCGAAAGCAACCUAUUAGUCUUCCUCUUUUCUUUUUCCCUCUUGUAGAAAUAAGUCUUCUUGAGCUUAUUUUCAUACCAUCAAUUUUCCAGUGCAGGAAUCUAAAUUGUUUUCUAAGUAUUGAAAGAUCGGUCAAACUGUUUUCAUGGAAAAUUCGUAGUGUAAAAACAUAGGAAUGAUAUCAUAUUACAGUAUGAAGAGAACUACGGUGGUUACUAAACACCCGAAAGGGAAUUUUGUCCGUAAAUUAAUCCCAAAAUCUCCCCUCUAUCCAACUCGAACAUCAUUUCCAGCUUCUUCAAAGUAAAUCAUAUAUGAUAAAAUCCGAUUUACGGGUUGUGGGUGGGGGUGGGAAGUUAAUUUUGCUUGAACCAAAUUACUUGAUGAAAUGGUGCACAUAUUUUAUUUUAUUUUUUCCCUGAUGAUUUUCAUAAGCACAAUAUGUUCAAGCCUUGAUGAACUAACAGAAAGAUUACCUUCGGAUCUAGCAUGAAGUUUAUGGCCUCCACCAACUUGUUAAAAGAGAACUCUUCAACGGGAAUGGGUGAAGGACCAACUCCUCUAGCAUGUACCCGCUCACCCCAAAAUGGUUGAUCUCCAAAGAAAGGAAUGAUUGUAGUUGGACACUAGAAUGAACCAGGGCAGAGAGAAAGAGAGAGAGAGAUGAAAGUUAGCCAAAAUCAAUCACGUAGCACUAAAAAGACAAGUUUUACAAUGUGAAGCAUUACAGCAGCUUUUAGUCCAGCAGCUGUUGUUCCAGCUCCUCCAUGAUGCACCUGUAAAUAAAACAAUGUAGGGGAAACCCUUUUUCAGAUGCAAGAAACAAGUAAAAGAACUAGCAAAUCAUAGUAAACACCAAUAACCCUAGCAUAGGAUAUCCAGCCUUCAGUUAGAGGAAUUUGGUUAGUUUGCCCAAAUAACCAUUCAAGAGGGAAAAUAGUGAAAAACUGAGGAAGUAUUUGGGUACCUUUUGAUAGUUGAGGUUCAAAAUUCAGUUUUACCUUACUAUUUAACUAGAAGAUGUUCUAAGCCAUAGUUUAUUAGUGUCCACCUUAAAUGAUCUUUCGGAAAAUUUUGACGCCUUGGGACUGGUUAACCCUACCUUUGUAACAUUUUAUCUUAUUUUCUUUCCUAUCGGAAAGAGGAAAAAUCCCUUUUAGAUUAUGUGCCUGUGAGGGUCCCCUAUCUCCCUAUCCUAUUAACAUUGUCUCUAUUAAUUAAUACAACAAAGUUUGAAUUUUUCAAAAUAUUUUAAGUUAAAUUAUAGAUUUUCAGACCUUUUUAGAAACACCACACAAAUCUAUAUUUUCUCAACCAAUAAGAGCUUAGUUCAAUCGGCACACUCAAUUGGCACAGUAUACGCUGAAGACUAAAAGGUUUGUGGUUUAAAUCCCCACCUCCAAUUUAUACUAAAAAAAAAUCUGCAUUUUCUCAAAUUACUAUCCCCAUCCCUCUAGGAAUCUGACGCUAUAUACUCCAUCUCCAUUUUGGUCCAAAUUCAUUAGCAAGUGAUUUUUUUUGAAUGACAAGAAAGUGCGCACACACAAAACAAAUCAUGCUCCCAAAGGGCUGGAACACCCAUAUGCACCCAAAUGAGGCGAAAUCGAAGAGCUAUCUGUCAUGUUGGUCUUCCAAUUGACAAAAGAAUGAGGGGUGGAAGCAAGGGAAGGAGGGAAGAGAGAGCUAAAGAAGAGAACCUUUUUUGGUCAAGUGACCUACAUUAACCUCAAAGUUCAAACUAACAUCAAAUUCAUGGUGGAGGCUACUUUUGAGAUUCACAGAAAGCCACUGACCUAAAAGUAUAGAGAGUAAAUAACAACCAAAGUAUUGGACCAAAAUAGGAUUUACCGUCUCUUAUAUAUAUAACUUAUAGGAGACAGCUAAGACUUCAGACCUUCCGUUUAAACUUGUUUGAGAUAAAAGCAACACCAAUUUGUUCUUAACCAUAAUGAUGCCCAUUUCCAGCAACAAAAUUAAUUAAUCCACUAAUCUCCGUGGAGACUAUUAUUCUCAAGAAAACAAAAUCUCACCCAAAAACAGGGUCAAGAAUAUAUUUUAAUACAAAAAAUAAAUGAGUGAAGAAACAGGAAACAAGAAAAUGAAGAAGAAGCAGAUUCUAUUAGUUAUCUCCGAUUCUUUUAAAAGGAGAUGUAUCUUUGAACCUUACUUUGCACAGGUCUCUUAUUUGUACUAAGAUAUAGUAAUGUUCUGAUAUACAAAGAACCAGCUACAUGAAUCAGCUAUAAAUACUCACCACGGCCUUGCACUGUAAGAAAAGCCAAUCGUGAGGGCAAUUGUCCAAUAAAUAUACGAAGUCCUUUGGUUCUUCCACUGGAAAGAAAUAAAAUUUAAGCUAAAUAAAUUAAAUCUCCCAGAGGCAAUAAUUCCAGGCAGAAAAAGUUUGGGGAGGGGAGCGAACAGGUAGGACUAGUUACAAUCGUAUUGAGGUCACCAAGACAUACUCAGAUAGAAAUUCAGAAACUUACAAUUUCCAAGACCCCCCCAACCUUUGUUGAUGAUGCCCCUCUGCCCAGUACUUUCCAGCGCUUUUACAAUUAUUUGGGUCAUCUUUGCAGGUUCUUGAACAGGCUGACAUACAAUGAAAACUAGGUUAAGAACGUGAGAAGGCAAUUAACCAAAAAGGCUGUACGUUUCUUGAAAAUCAGAUAAAAAAAAACAAUUUGAAUAAUUAUGAGAUACUUCUAGAUGCUACCAAUAAUUGAAACUGAAAAGUAUAUGUCAGAGAUAAGAACAUCAAGAUAGCGUAUGCACUCAAACGGAGAAUAGAACUGGGUUCCUUAUCAGAAAAGGGAAGUUAAUUUGGAAUGUGAAGUGAAUUUUCUGUUUGAAGAAAGGAAGGCAUGGUGCUUGCUGCAAAAUCUUCUUAGGAAAGAGCCUAAGCUGAUGGCCAGAUCGUAGCAGCCACAGCGGAAAGUCUUCAAAUGAGAAGUCAUUUACCAUUUGCAGUAAAUCUAAAAAACAGUUAAACUUUCUAAAAAAAUGGUUGUGCUUUCUCGUAGGAUUUCAGAAGCAAUUUAUUUCAGGUUCAUCAUGAACCAUGCUUGCUUAUCUUCCCCACAUGUCUUUUACAGGUCAGUAAUCAAUUUUAUCUUAAUCAUGGUCCAGGGGAUAUGACGAGGACAUCUCAACCCAAUUGAGAUAUCUGGGAUCCUAACCUUCCAUUUUAGUGUUUGUGAGUUAAGAGAUGAUAUCUUCCUAACUUCAUUUUACUGGAUUGUGUGUAUGUAUAUGUAUGAGUGUGUGUGAGAAAAACGAAGAACGCAAAAAAAGGAGCAAAUAAAAGGCCCUUGCUAUGGUACCACCUAACAAGAAUAGAACUGAAAUAUAUUAAAAUGUAAACGAUCACAAACUCCAAGAUAAACCAACCAUAAGGCAGUUGGAACCUCCCCACGCUUGAGUAUGCUAACCUGCCCCAAUUCGAUCAGAGAUCUGAUCAAGUGGGAAAUUUUUCCAUCCCUAAUAACAAUUGCCUCUCUACCUGACUUCAAUCCCCCUCCUCUAUUUAUAACCAAAUACACGAACUCCCUAACUAAUUAUCUUUAUGCUCUUACUAUUACUAUAGUACUCCUACUACCCAUAAGCCCCUAUUAGUUCCCACACAGCCCCAUUCCAACGGAGUUAGAAAAGACAAUCUCCUUUACACAAAGAUAGGUCAGAAAAAGGAAUGAAGAGUAGGACAAAUGGCAUGGCAGUACAGAACAUUUGGCAAGAAAGAAAUAAAAGGAUCUUCCAAGAAGAGGGUACCAGAUGAAUGAAUAAUUUGCAAUCACCACUAUUCUAUUUGAACUUUUGUACGAUUGGUUCUUAAUGGAAGUUUCACUCCACUACCAAAUAAAAUAAAAUAAAAGCCUACAACCUUUUAUAUAUCUCUUCCACCUGCCCCAACACAAAGGGAGCUUUUGAUGCAAAGAAAGGAGAAACUAUAAAAAGCAGAAAUAUCAAAUUAAAUGGAGGGAAUAAUAUGAAACACUCACAAGGCUACCAAAACCAAUAUAGAUAGGCCUGUCGCCAGCCUUAAGCCAAUUUACAAGCGACUCGGGAGGUUCAUAAUUUGAUGCAAGAUCAAGGAAGCAAAAUCCGACCACAUCCACCUUAGGUCCCCAAUCUGAAAGAAACCCAAGUUUUAAAGCUGGAAUCAUAAGAUUCUACGAUUCUAUAUUCUUUUGUAAAUGGAAAAAUUCCUGAAAUUGCAAGCAUGAUGUUUUAUUACUAGAAAAACAACACGGUAAAUUUUUAAAAGAGUUUCUUGUUAAUAUUGCUUUACAGUAGAAAGAACAACCAUCAUUCAAAGAACAAACCUUUUGGUUUGGGAACAAGAUGCGGACUCCAUAUAUACCCAUGUGGCACAUUUGAUUCAGAGGCAUGUGAACCACUUAAAUAUGUGACAGGUCGUAGCUUCAGCCUUUUUUUCCUAAGAUCAUUAAUCAUGUCCCGUAUCCCAAGCCAAAUUAAGGAGUCUACAAUUUGAUAUGAGAGCUGGAAAUUAAAAAAGUAAAAAAUCAAAUUUGAUGAAGAUAUAAAAGAAAUAAAUAAAAAGAAAAAGGAUAAAAACUCAAUAUGGUGUGUGCACGUAAAUGCAGAAAGCAAUGCCAUAAUAGUUACCCGAUAGCCAGCCUGUUGCUUGACACGGGAUAAAGGAUGAGGAAAUUCACUUGUCGGCCUGACAAGAGGAGGAAAUAGUGCAUGAUUCAAACUCUCUUACAAAGCAUAUAGCACAGAUAUAGGUAUAUUCACACAAUAACAGUAACUCCAGAUUGUCAAAAAAAAAAAAGAUACACUGCCUGGGCAAACUUACGUCCAUGGCAUUGUGAAAAAUAUGUGAAUUGGAAUUUUAAGUGCCUCGGCCACAUGAGUAUGUCCUACAGAAGCAUUGAAGAGGUUAUUGUAUAGAGUUUCUUCACAAAAAUAACAAAUUACAGUCACGUGAGAACUAAAAAGGGAAAAAGGAAAAAAGUGCCAACAUCUUCCAACCUCAUUACAAAAUUCCUCUGCCCAGGAAGAGAGAGAAGUAAAGAGAACUAAUACUUCCGCAUAUAUAAGCAAAAGGAUACUAGAGCAAUAAAAUCAAGAGAAGGUUUGAUAGGGAUGGGACCUUUCCUUAACCUGUUUACCCCCACCUCAUCUACAAACUUCACUCAAUUGAUACAAAAUAAUGUCACAAUCACAAGAAUCUAGAAAAUGAAACAUCAUCAAAGGCCAGCUAUUACAAUAUUUACCCUGGUCAUUCAAGGCAGGAAUAACAACGUACUCUCGCUCUUUGUUUCUUUCCUUUUACAGGGAAAAGGUCGUUAGAGCCUAGACGCAAGGUCUUACCGUAAGCUGGUGGGUUGGCAAUGAUAGCUUCUGCUUCGAAGGGAAUACCAGAUUCAGGAUCAGGAUCUUUGCAAGCUGGAAGUAGUGAAUAAAUGAUUUCCUUCAUUUGAUUCCUUUGGACUGGUAUUUCAGAAGGCCCCGAAGGCAAGAAACCUUUGUUUUUUACCAUGUCUGUUGCAAAAGGAUAAUAUAAUGCUCACAGAACUAUAAAUGGAAAACAGUUGUUUUAAUUCUCUAAUAGAAGUUAAUAAGUAAAUGAAAACCACAUAAGUAUUCAAUCAUUUGAACUAUUGUCGGACAAAUAUUUGUCUUUACAUUAUACCUAUACUCAAAAGCAAAGGCAACUCAUGACAGAAAAAGAAUCACUAACUUUAAAAAAACACAUAUACAAAUAAAUAAAGAUUUAUAGACAAUCUAGAGACUCCUAAGAUCAUAAAUUUGUGAAUCAAAUAUGAAUUAUGACGCUAAAAUUUGAAAUAAAAAAAUAAAUAAUAAAAAACCAAAGAAUUGGAAAUAGAGCCAUCGUGAAUAUUUCCAGAAGGUUUUCAAUAAAGCAGGCAUCAACUUUCAUCUUCCGGACGGUUAUUUUCCACAGUUAGUCACUCGCUUGAUGGCUAUUUAGAGAUGAAAUUAAGAAGCUGUUGUGUCAACAAUACUUAUUUUUGCAUUCCAAUCAAAGAAGACGUCUUUUUUGUGGAGGACAUGGUUAACACGCUUGACGCUACUAAUUCUCCAACCAUUUUCUCAUUAGUAAUGGUACAGAAUUUGAUUUGUAUGAUCUCUAAUUUAUCCUUGUGGAACCAAGGAAGACGCUAAAGCAUGAGAUAGACCAGUAGGCAGUAAAUAAUACAGAAGAGAGAACUUACAGCCAGCAAGAAUUUUAGGAUCUCCACCUAAAGCAAAAAACUCCAGCCCAGCAGUUAAAACAAACUCCUUGAAAUUUGAAUGAGUGGCAAGUCUAACACGAUGACCAUAAUCCUGCAAACAUUGUAAUUGCCCCAUGAGAACAUAAAUUGCCUCAGAUAUAUUAAAUAAAAAUGAUCGAUUGCACAUUUUUUAUAUCAUUUGUAACAGGAAAUGAAUUUUGCUGUCAAAUGACAUGUACAUAAGGAAACAAAGCCUCCAAAAAAUACCAGAAGUUUCAAAUACUUCUCAAAUUGAUCCGAUAGAAGAAAUAUGGUAAUUAUAUAUGAAAUAAAUUAAGAAGCCUUAUCAAUCAGCCUACGCAGUAUGAGAUUUCAAACUUCUUACGAAGUCUCCACUCCUUGGAAAACUUCAAUUUAGUUCCAGCCAAGAAUUGCAAAGAUGCCACAACACCAAAAAGACACUCUGCCUUUAGAGAAGUGACCACUGACCACCAAAGAGUUUGAGUAUUAACUCCCUUGAUUAUUCAACCAAAAAUAGUAAUGAAAAGAAAUACUUCCACAGAAUUGUUUGAAAAAGAAACUUCUAGGAAGGGCCAAAACUUGGACAGAAAAAGCCACCUUAGGGUGGGCAAUUGUUUCUUUUCCGAGAGAUGCAGAUGGGUUAAAUAUUGACUAUAUAACGUGAGAAAGAUAGGCCUUCUUUGCAACUGGUUGUGAAGGCUUCCGAGACUAGCCUACUUUUUGUGGUACACAUGUAUAUCCAGUAAACAUGGGAGUGACCUGGAAGCUUUACAAGUCCCAAUUCUUCUGCUUCAGUCCAAGUCCCUGCAGUCACAUUGCAAACCUGACCUCUUAGCUAAGCUUCAGCAUUUAAUUUGAGAAACGGCUCCAUGUAAGGUUUCGGGAGGGCAGUUGAUAGAGUCUCUUCAGGUUUUAGAUAUACACGUGGGAGAGAUGGAAAGGUGUGCCUGUCUUCUUUGAACCAGAGUGUUGUUCUUUGUGGCUGAGCACCCCAAAAGCCAAGCAUUUAUUUCUUUCUGAGAUAUCUAUAUCUUUCCACAUUCUAUAAUAGAAAGAACUCGUAUGAGUAAGACAGUUUAAUACGCCAGUUUCAGAGGACUCUGAUAGACCCCCAAUUAUACACCAGUACAGUAGAAGGAAGAAGAAGCAAGGUUAAUCGCACGUGCUAGGGAGAAUAGCCUUAGUUUUAAUAUUGUUAGUAGAUGCUCCAUAAUAAAAUAAUAGAGCAUAAGUAGGAGUUUGUUAUGGAGUUAGUUAGAGUAUAAAUAGGAGUUGGGUAUGGAGUAUAAAUAGGGGUCUGUUGGGAGGGAGAAGAGUGAAGAAUUAAGACUGCAAUAUUCCUUGAAAGGGAGGAAGGGCAAGGGGUUAGGGUUCUAUAUUUUUUUCUUCUUUUUACUGCUUGAUAUUGUAAUUCCGUUGCAUAUAUCAAUAAAUAGAAACACUGAAUUAUCAGUGUUCUAUCAGACUCACAUAAGGGUCUGUAGAACUUCGUGAACUCCUGAUCAUGGAUUUUACAGAAGAAAUAUUCGGGACAAAUCCACUUGAUCAUGAAAGUAAGAUAUUGAGAAGAACCGGUUGUGAAGAUUUUUUUAGGGGAAACAUCUUGCUUGGAAGAAAGGAUUCCAGUCCCUCUUGAAAUGAGGGAGAGUUACCAGUUUUCUUUUACCUUGAUUAGUAUGUUUUGUUUCAUUCUGCCGGUAAGGAUAUAUAUAUAGGUGCGCAUGUUGAUCCCUCGACUCCAAGUUUCCUAUGCUUAUUAUGUUUUAUUGUAUUUCAAGCAUUAACCAUUUUCAUUUUAUCCGUUAGAAUUGGUAGGCUUGGCCCUUGGAGUAUUUUUGGUAGGUAAGAAUAUGGAAGAUUUCCCUUUUUCCUAAAUAUUUUCCUUUUUUACUCAUUGUAUUCUAUUUAUUCUUUUUUGUACCUAUUAUAUAAUUCAUAAGAAAAAUAAUAAAACUAAAAACAUCUAUGGUUUUUCUCGAGGUUCUCAAAUUUCCACGUAAGUUUUGGUUUCGUCUUUAUUGUUUUCCAUAUAGUAUCAGAGCAAAGCGACAACGAAACCCUAGAAAAAAAUUUAGGAGGAACCCACACCAAACCAGUCACUGCCACCGUGGACGUCGUCAUGGCAAAAUUAGUCCAAAUGCUUCAGAAACUUCCGAUCUACACAGUGGGACAACCCUCGCCGCCAUCCGCGCAACCCUUCGGCUAGAAUCUCUCUCAUGCGCCACCUCUGUCUGGCAUGUGGGACCACACACCUCUGCCAAUUUGUCUCACCACCCAUCCCAUUCUUUUCUACUCGCCGUUGGAUCCAACGAUCAUGCCCUUCCGAUAAUCCGCAAACUCACGCGCCUCCCAUGCCUCUGAUUAUGGACAGCCACCACAAAAAUUGUCAAAUCUGUCCAUUCGCAUGCUGCUGUCUGCCGACCCUUUGCAGCAACCCUUUAAUGGAACUGAAGGUGUCCAUAGCUGAUCAGGGGUUGAAGCGGGAGUCUUCGGCGCAUUCCAAACCAACUGAGUUGCCGAUGUAUUCCAAGAACCCGGUAAUUUCGCUUCCUAAUGUGCCUUCAAAUUAUAUAACUAACUCUGCUGCCUUUAGUGCUCAAUCCUUGACCCAUGAUAAUGAGAAGAAUAGUGGGAAACCAAUCCUCGUUUGUGAGCACUGCAAGAAACAAUAGCACACCAAGGAUCAGUGUUAGAAACUCCACGGCCGGUCUCUAAGAGAUAACAAAUGUUCCUCCAACGAGCAACAGAACUCAGGAUGUACCGAUGUUAGAGAUACUGUCAGCACCUCUCGGUCAACUAGCUCUACUAGCCGCUCUACUACUAGCCAAACCGGCCCUCUUACUCUAGGCGCCAUUGCUCAGUUAGGUAUGCCUCAGUCCCUUGGCCUUAGUGUUGAUGGGAAGAAUUCAUGGAUUUUGGACUCGGGGGCUAUAGAUCGCUUGAUAAGUUCUUCGGAGCACUGUCUCUUAUACCCCUGUGCCGGUAAUGAGAAAAUCCGGAAAGUUGAGGGCUCUUUAGCCCCGAUUGCUAGCAAAGGACAAAUAGUUAUCUUUGACGAUUUCUCUCUCCAUAAUGUUUUGCAUGUGCCCAAGUUUUCUUACAAUUUGUUAUCCAUUAGUAAGAUCACCUGUGAGCUGCACUAUAAAGCUAAUUCUGACCUAAAUUUGUUUGUUUUCAGGACUUGAGUUCGGGGAGGACGAUUGGCAUUGACUGACAUAGCAAGGGACUUUACAUCCUUAAUGAUGAUACCUCCGGUACUAGUAUCUCUAGGACUAGUUUACUGUCUUCCUAUUGUAGCAUCUCUGGACAUGACUUUAUGUUGUGGCAUUUUCGGUUGGGUCACCCGAACUUUACUUAUAUGAAAUAUUUAUUUCCCCAUCUUUUUCCUAAAAUCAAUGUCUCCUUGUUAUUUUGUGAUGUGUGCAUUCGAGCAAAACAACAUCGAGUUUCUUUUCCCUCACAACCAUAUAAACCCACUCGACCGUUUACCCUUAUCUAUAGUGGUGUUUGGGGUCCUUCCAAGAUCACAAACUCAUCUGGGAAAUGGUGGUUUGUAGCUUUCAUUGAUGAUCAUACCCGUCUUACUGGGUCUACCUUAUCAUCGGCAAAUCUGAGGUUUUCUCUAUUUUUCAAAACUUCUAUCACUCCAUUGAAACACAAUUCCAUACAAAAAUUGCAAUUCUUCGAAGGGAUAAUGGUUGGGAAUUCCAAACCAUAACCCUAGUGAAUUUCUAGCCUCCAAGGGGAUUGUUCACCAAAACUCAUGCACCUACACUCUUCAACAAAAUGGGGUGGUCGGGCAAAAAAAACAUCACCUUCUGGAAGUAGCUCGUUCCCUUAUGCUAUCCACUUCCCUUCCUUCAUACUUGUGGGGAGAUGCUAUUCUUACAGCAACUCAUUUAAUCAAUAGAAUGUCUUCUCGUAUACUCCACCUUCGUCUUUAGAUUGUCUUAAGGAGUCCUACCCCUCUACUUGUCUUGUUUCUGAGGUUCCUUUUUGUUUGUUUGAGUGUACUGCUUAUGUCCAUAAUUUUAGCCCAAAUCAAACCAAAUUUACCCAUCGAGCUCUGGCAUGUGUAUUUGUUGGGUAUCCCCUUCAUCAACACGGUUAUAAAUAUUUUCACCCACCGUCUAGGAAAUACUUUGUCACUAUGGAUGUUACUUUCUGUGAGAACCGACCCUACUUUCUUGUUAGCCAUCUCUAGGGGGCAAGUGUGAGUGAAGAGUCUAAUAGCACCUUCGAAUUUAUCGAACCUACUCCUAUUACCGUGUCUGACAUCGACCCUCAUCUCAUAGUCCUACCCACAAACCAAGUUUCCUGAAAAACAUAUUACAAGAGAAAUCUCAAAAAGGAAGCUUAAUGUAAUUCAAGUUUGGAUUUAAUUUCUCACAAUAAUUCUCUACCUCUAAUGGCUAAGAGAAGGGGUAUUUAUUAAAAAUGUGUAAGUACAAGUAGUUGAUAUAACUGUUUCUAUGAAACAGUUUUAACAGUUAACAGUUUAAACAAUUAAACUAUUUUACUAACUAUCUACAGCUGUUAGUUAACAGUUUAAACAAUUAAACUAUUUUACUAACUAUUCUGUAUUACAUCAUUCCACCCCCCUAAGAUGGAACUCGACUCGAGUGACCUUAGUCUGCUAAGUUGAAAUCGUCUGGAGCAUAGUAUUGCUUUAAGUCUGCCACAUUAAAGACUGGGUGAAUAUGCAUGUCUGGUGGUAGUUCUAUCUUGUAGGCAUUUUCUCCAACUUUCUUUAGGAUACGGAAUGGGCCAAGCUGUCUGUCUUUGAGUUUAUUGUAUGUGCCAGUGGGGAAUCGAUUCUUUCGAAGGUGGAUCAUUACUAAGUCUCCUUGGGAAAAGCCAGCUUGUCUUCUUUUCUUAUCAGCUAUUUUCUUAUAGGAUUCUGUUGUUUGCAUUAAGUGAUCAUAUUAGGUUGCCUAGUGUUAGCAAGUGCCAAAUCCCACUGUUUCGGUUUAGUUCCACUAAGACAACGUAUUAGGUUGCCUAGUGUUCUAUUAGUGACAUCGGCCUGUCCAUCUGUUUGUGGGUGUGCUGCAGUACUGAAUUUCAGAGUUGUGUCAAGUUUCUUCCAUAGGGUCCUUAAGUCCUACCCACAAACCAAGUUCUUCCUCAAUCUGCCUUUUGGGAAGAGAGACUAGUUUCUUUGGCGUGCUUGUGUUUGUGCUAUUAUGUGGCUUUUGAGGGAUGAAAGGAAUUGUAGGGUUUUUAGAGGGGUUGAGAGAGAGGCUAGAGAUUUUGGUCUCUUGUUCAUUUUCAUAUUUCUCGUUGGGCUUCAAUCUCGAAGGCUUUUUGUAACUAUCCCCUUGACAUGAUUUUGUAUAACUAGGGUCUUUUCCUGCAGUGGGAUACACUUCUUUUCAUUGAAAAAUAAUGAAAGAAUACAAGGACAUACAAAAAACAAGUCCAUCGAAAAAACAAGCCCACUACAAGAAAAGUUUCCAACUAAGCAAAAUGUUACCAAGGAAAUAAUUACAAAAAAAACUUUGAAAUCAAAGUCCAAAGAGAAACAUGGGAUCCCAGUAAGGACCAAAUCUCUUAAGUUUCCUUCUCAAAACCUCUAAAAACUCUCUUGUUCCUUUCACCCCAAAUAUCCCAAAUCACAGCACACACCCUUGCAAGCCACAAAAACCAGUCUUUCUCUCGAAAAGACAGAUUGCAAGAGAAACUCCUCUACAUAACACGGAUCGUUCUUGGACCAGCAAUCUGAAGACCAAACUUUUGAAAGAAACAAGACCACACAAACCUCACGUACCGAUAUGUUGGAAUUUGUCCUAAAACUCAUAGUUUGUAAUCAUAUUCUACUCAAUAAAGUCGUUAUUGAUACUAUAAUUUUAAAGCCAAUAAACUAGGGACCUGAAGCUAUUAUUGAGUAAAAUUGAACUUUAUGUAGAGACAUAAACGUGAAUCAAGUUCGAGUAUAUAACUUAAAUAGUCUAUAGUAUAUGAAUAUGAUUGGGCACCUUAUUCUAGGGACACUAUGGAUGUGGCCUACUUUGUAGUUAGUACAAACGAUGUGAUCCUAAAUCGUUCAUGUAGAGACAUGGAAGUGGGAGCAUCCUAUGUAAAGAGUUUACAUAAGACUGAAACAAUGAAAUAGUCGCUUUUGGGUUAUAACGCCGUUGACUUUAAUAAAACCGAUUAUUUCGUUAAUAGAUAUCCAGUGUAACUUAAUCUUAAUCUUGAGCUAACUAUGAACUUCUAUUCACACAAAAUUAUCCUUAGAUCUGCAUAGGUGAGGAUAGCUCAAUGGCGCUGGCCCAAUAAGCCUCCCAUUUCAGGGGUAAGACCGGGUGGAUAGCUAGGGAUAUAAGGUGCAAGACAGAAUUCACCCAAUCACUCCUACCCGUUUUAGGAUUAAUAGAUAAGUUGUUCCCUUAAUGACCGAAUUCGAGUCUUGAACAAGGGGCCCCACCCUCUCAUUCACCUGAGAGGGAUUCGGUUUAGAGGUUGGACUUUAAACCAAUUGUUCGAUAGUGGAUCAGUGAGACUUAAGGAGCAAGAUAUAAUCUCAGAGAUAAAACGGUACUUUGACCUAGCCGAGGUUUUGAACAACCUGUGAAGGAUUAACUUACUUAUCAUGGUUAUAUCACAUAGACAUAAAUAUAUCUAUAGUGAAGGGAGUACAAAUACGGGACUUUAGUGGAAUGACCCGUUAGUUAACGAAGGUUGAUUAACUUGGCCUAAAGAGUUUAGCAAGUUAAUCUCGAAUCGUUGGAGCCCAUGAUCUAUAGGUCCAUUAGGUUCUCCUGCUAGCUCACAAGGAAUCAACUUAGAACAUUAUGAUGAAAUAAUUUGAAUUGUUCGAAUUAGGUAAAGAGAGAAAACCCGACGAAUAUAUUUGAUAUAGCCGUCGGAUAUAAGUUAAAGAUAGAGUUUAUGUUUAAAUAUGAUUUAAAAUAUGAAUACAGAUUCAUAUUAGAAAGCUUGGAAUUAAUGGAAAUGGUCAAAGUACUAAAAAGUCACAGUGUUGACUUUUGACUUCGAAAAAUCAAAAUUUGACCGAUUUUAUAUUCAAAUGUGAUUUGAAUUUUGGAAAAAUGAAUGUGGAUUCAUGCUCGGGAGGUCAAAACUAGUCAAGACGGAUAAAAUGGUAAAAAGUCAAAUUGUUGACUUUUUACUUUUAAAUGUCAAAUUACCAUAUUACCCUUGGACUAAAUUGUUGAGAUUUGGCAAGCACAUUGCAUGUAAUUAGCAAGUGGCUUCGUAUGCAUAUGUGACACUUAGUUGUUGAUAUACCAAGUGUGGAGAAUGAGAAGCUCACUACAUGCAAUUUUGCAUGUAGUUUGCUUAUAAAAGGAGUGGACUAUUCCAAAUGAAAGAUAAGUAGUUUUUGUUUUUGGAUGAAAUUGAUUUUGUAAUUUUGAAUUACAAAAUCAAACCAAAAAUUCCUUUUCUCUCCACAAGAUCUCAAAGCUAACUUCUUCCUCCUAAAUUCAUCACUCUCUCUAUUUUCUACAUCAUUUGAGUCCCACAACUUGGUUCUAAGUCUGGAGAAUAGUUGGUCAACGCUAUUAGUAGUCCCGACUUCCAAUACGUGACGAGAUUACGACAAUAGAAAAGCAUCAAAGGUGAGUUUUUCUAUUAACCCUAUUUUUUUUUUAUUUUAGGGUUGGUAAUGUAUGUUAAUCACUAAAGUGUUUAGUUGCAAUUAGAGUAAAAUCCGAUCUUUAUUCCGCUGCGUAUGUCUACUGUUUCCAUCACGAAAAUCCCAAAGCAUGUGAAUCAGGUUUUCCUCCGCCUUCCAACAGAGAAUACAACAAGAUAGGCCCAUAAGCGUAGGUCUCAAUAAGCCUAUCCAAGGUAUUCAUGUGGCCUAACAAAACUUGCCAAAUAAAGAAUUUGAUCUUCUUUGCUAUCUUGAUCCUCCAAACCUCGCAAAACACCAACUUAAGGGCUAGGCUUCCAAACACGAACAUUCCUCCUCCCUUCCCUAAAGUCACACUCAUCGAGCAAAGAAAGAAGGGAUGUCAUUUCUGUCGUAUCCCUAUUGGAUAAGCGACGACGGAACGUGAAAGAAAAAGAUACUGAGCUUUCUGCCCAAACCAAAAAGUCAGAAAUAGGAUGGUUUUUAAGAAAGGACAACUGAUAAAGAUGAGGAUAAGCCUAACAAAGGGGCUAUCCCCAACCCACUGAUCUUCCCAACUUUGGUCUGUAAUUGUCUAAGAUCCAAAAAGAAAUAUAAGAGUAGACUGAGUAGACUGGAAAGGAAAUGAGAGAUUCAUCUUCUGCAAGUUUCAUUAACUGGUGAAAGAACAAGGGUUCAUCUCCCAUAAGCUAGACGGAGUUGGAACAGAAACAUAUCCUCGUUAUUUAUAAUGGACAAGAGGUUGAAAUUGCAAAAGGCCUAUACAAAGAAAAACUUAAGGCUUAUGAGAGAAAUUAAACCUCUUUUAGAAAAGGAAAUACUUAAGGCUGCUACCAAAACCAGAAGUUCUUUUUUUUUUCCCUCUCAAGGCAUAGUUUUCAAAUAGUAGCUUUUACGUGAAACCCCCAUGGGGGGGGGGGGGGGGGGGGGAAAUUACUACAAAAGAGCUCCAACUCCAAACAAGUUUAUGAGUAAUUAGUUUAGUAAACAAAAUUAAAGUGAAAAUCAUAGAAGUUUCCACACCUGUAGGCGUUUUCCAAUUGCUACAAAUGGCUGUACAUCUCCACGUGUUCCAACAAUAAGCAUUACUAUUUGCAAAGGUGGAAUAUCCUGGAGGUCUGCCACAUCAGGAGGCUCUUCUUCAAUUAGAUCAUGAGGGACUUCUUUUGGACCAAUACCAAGAGGUGCUCCAACGUCUCCAGGGAUUUCAAAUUCCACAGUUCCAUCAUCCUUCACUGUGGCUAUUCUGUUUAACAAUUUCAGCUGUACAGUUUUAAAAAGUUAGUUUACCAAAACCUUUUUCUAGGAAUUUUCCACCAAUUAAUAUCAAAAUGUGCCUGUUAUUACAAAGUCGUUUUUUCUUUUUUUCUUUUUUUUGACAAAUUACAGUUUCAGAUUUUUAGGUUUAAAUUUUCUAUCUAGUCCUUAAAGUUUCAAGGUGCCAUUUUAAUCCUUGUGGUUUCAAAAAUAGUUUUAACUCGUCCCCAUUCGAAUUGAGGGUUAGUUAACUUAACCGAGAUAUGACAUGACAACUAAGUGUUGACUAGGCUUUGUUGACUUGUAUUGUUUGAAAUGAGAUGGCAAAAUUUAAGAAUUUUAUAUCUAAAUUUUAUUAUGUGGCUUUUUUAUUCUAUUUUCUCUCUCCCAUCAGCUCUCUUCUCUCAUUUUCCCCCUUCCACUAGUGUCUCCCCCCUCCUGGUUUGUUCCCCACUCUUGCCAACCCCCUAUCUCCCCUCUCCUUUCAGUUUCUUGUUUUCUUCCCAUAUCUGGUUUGUCUCUCUUACUCCUGCACUGACCCUCAUUCUUACUCUCCUACUUGUGUAGCCGAAAAAAGAUAUUGAUGAGUUCAUAAACCAGUCAACAUAACCAACUUUGAUUGUGUUAGGAUCCCACCUAACAAGAAUUAUCUCAAGAACACAGGAUGAACUCAAGAACAAUCAGAUAUGAAAAUAUACGAAAUAUAUGGUAUAAUAUCACAAAAACAAAGUAACCCCUAUCCUUUCGAUAGGACUAGACUCUCCCAAAUUCCCACACAAGGAAACCUCAUUACAAAAUUCUCCACCCUUUUCCCUAACCCCUCUUCUUCUUCUGUAUAUAGCAAAAAGACCUAACUUACUAACUAUUUACUAAAAUGCCCCCAACUAAUAACCAUAUUAAUUUUCUACUACUCUUUUAUUCUAUCCCACUGAUAGGUACCGAGAUAAUUAGUGGGGUUAGGGGUAUGAGGGUAAUUAGAUAAAGAGUUGGUUACUAAUAGUCAGUUACCCUUGUUGCACUUGCCGAUUUAUUGUUUUGCUGAGUUUUUAGGAGAGAUUUGAUUUUGGGACUUUACAAUUCUGCAUUGAGAAAAUUAUUGUAAGAAUUGGACAAAUGAGGGAAAUGAGAGUAUCUGUAUGAGUUGUUUUCAAAUUGGUUCUUUGAUUCUUUCCCAACUCAAGAUUUCUUUUUUUUUUUUUUUUUGAAGCGGAGACAAGCCUCUUCAUUCAUGAUAAAAGAGAGACUAACGCUCAAAACACAAGAGAACUAUACAGAGUGCAAAAGGGCAAAAACAGAUACAAACAAUAACCAAAACAAAGACCGCAGUAACAGCGAGCUAAUCAAAAUCUUCUAACCUGAAACAACAAAUGGGAUCUAGAAUGUAAACUAGGUACAAAGUAAUCAAAACAGAUUAUUUCAAAGUAUUUGAUUGCUAAGGUGUAGGAAUUUUUUGUUUAUUUAAAGUUCUAAAAUUUAGGAAGAGGAAAAAAAUGUUAAAGAGAGAAGUUUGAAAGAUCGAAGAAUGAAACAAGGGGGUUAAUAGGGUAUUAAAAAAGUGAGGGAAACGGGAUGACAAAUGAGACUAGUUGAUUGAAGUAGAUGAGAGAAGAAAUGAAAAAUGGAGACGAUUGGUCAUUAGAUACACAUUUUCUGUUUGUAUAUUGACAGUAAAGACAUUAUCAACUUCUUUUCAAAGGGUGAGAGUAUUAAUGCAACUAUUGAAAAUUCAAUAGUAUUUUUUAAACGAGACACAAAAUAUUCACGUUCAUAUACUAACAAUAGUGCACUUUUGAAUUUUUUGGAAGUUC